CAAUAACUUUAUGUAUCCUAUAGUCACCUUCCUAAUUUUCUACCUACAACAAUGAUAUACUUAUUAGCAGUAUCAACUAUUUUUUUUUUUUUUGGCAUCAUGACAUUGGGUUUUUAAAAUUUAAUUUGCAGCAUUAUAAAUCAUUUAAACAAUUUGGUGUCAGUAUUCUGCCGAGGUACAUUACUAUAAUACGUAUAGCUUUCUGCAUAAUAUUUUGAUGUUAAAUAACAGUCCGCACGGCCCCGGAGUCGAUGAAGCGUGGAUUCUGGAUACUGUAGCCGGACAACGAACGGCUGUCUUCCAAUCGAUUUCCAGCGAAAAUCAAACGUUGCU